rnacentral:lncRNA from 1 species
UUGAAGUUGAAAAGAUAUUAGUGUUAGGAUUUGGUUAGAUUUGUAGUUAAAUCCUAUUUGGAUAAGAAUUAAUAUUUAAAUUUGUUUGAGAUAAAUUAAGAUUUAAAUAUUAAUUAGAGGAUAAACCUAACUAGAUUAGGAUUAAUAUUUAAAUCUAUUAGAGAUUGAUUAAGAUACACUACAACAAAAAUGCUUUUUAGCGGCGACUUUUUGGUGGCGACGCGUACUGUCGCCACCAAUAUAUUAAAUAUGGUGGCGACAUUUAUUUGUCGCCGCCAAUUCAUAGAAAAUGGCGGCGA